rnacentral:rRNA from 1 species
AGCGAACGCUGGCGGCAGGCCUAACACAUGCAAGUCGAACGAACUCUUCGGAGUUAGUGGCGGACGGGUGAGUAACACGUGGGAACGUGCCUUUUGGUUCGGAAUAACUCAGGGAACUUGUGCUAAUACCGAAUGUGCCCUUCGGGGGAAAGAUUUAUCGCCAUUAGAGCGGCCCGCGUCUGAUUAGCUAGUUGGUGAGGUAACGGCUCACCAAGGCGACGAUCAGUAGCUGGUCUGAGAGGAUGACCAGCCACACUGGGACUGAGACACGGCCCAGACUCCUACGGGAGGCAGCAGUGGGGAAUCUUGCGCAAUGGGCGAAAGCCUGACGCAGCCAUGCCGCGUGAAUGAUGAAGGUCUUAGGAUUGUAAAAUUCUUUCACCGGGGACGAUAAUGACGGUACCCGGAGAAGAAGCCCCGGCUAACUUCGUG